AGCUCAGUUGGUGAAGCAUCUGCCUGCAAUGCAGGAGACCCUGGUUUGAUUCCUGG
rnacentral:tRNA from 1 species